CAGUAGCCGCGGGAAUACGUAGGUGGCAAGCGUUGUCCGGAAUUAUUGGGCGUAAAGGGCUCGCAGGCGGUUUCUUAAGUCUGAUGUGAAAGCCCCCGGCUCAACCGGGGAGGGUCAUUGGAAACUGGGAAACUUGAGUGCAGAGGAGGAGAGUAGAAUUCCACGUGUAGCGGUGAAAUGCGUAGAGAUGUGGAGGAACACCAGUGGCGAAGGCGACUCUCUGGUCUGUAACUGACGCUGAGGAGCGAAAGCGUGGGGAGCGAACAGGAUUAGAUACCCCGGUAGUCCCUGUCUCUUAUAC
rnacentral:rRNA from 1 species